UACGGAGGGGGCAAGCGUUGUUCGGAAUUACUGGGGCGGUAAAGGGCGCGCAGGCGGCUGCUCAAGUCAAGGCGUGAAAGGCCUGGGCUCAACCCGGGAAUUGCGCUUGAGACUGGGCUGGCUUGAGUGCGGGAGAGGAUGGUGGAAUUCCCGAGUGUAGAGGUGAAAAUUCGUAGAUAUUCGCAAGAACACCAGUGGCGAAGGCGGCCAAC
rnacentral:rRNA from 1 species